AUUGAACGCUGGCGGCAUGCUUUACACAUGCCAGUCGAACGGUAACAGCGCUUCGGUGGCUGACGAGUGGCGAACGGGUGAGUAAUACAUCGGAACGUGCCUAGUAGUGGGGGAUAACUACUCGAAAGAGUAGCUAAUACCGCAUGAGAUCUAAGGAUGAAAGCAGGGGACCUUCGGGCCUUGCGCUACUAGAGCGGCUGAUGGCAGAUUAGGUAGUUGGUGGGAUAAAAGCUUACCAAGCCGACGAUCUGUAGCUGGUCUGAGAGGACGACCAGCCACACUGGGACUGAGACACGGCCCAGACUCCUACGGGAGGCAGCAGUGGGGAAUUUUGGACAAUGGGCGCAAGCCUGAUCCAGCAAUGCCGCGUGCAGGAUGAAGGCCUUCGGGUUGUAAACUGCUUUUGUACGGAACGAAAAGCCCUCUUCUAAUACAGGAGGGUCAUGACGGUACCGUAAGAAUAAGCACCGGCUAACUACGUG
rnacentral:rRNA from 1 species